rnacentral:rRNA from 1 species
GGAGGACAGGUGCUGCAUGGCUGUCGUCAGCUCGUGUCGUGAGAUGUUGGGUUAAGUCCCGCAACGAGCGCAACCCUUGCCUUUAGUUGCCAGCAGUUCGGCUGGGCACUCUAAAGGGACUGCCGGUGUUAAACCGGAGGAAGGUGGGGAUGACGUCAAGUCCUCAUGGCCUUUAUGACCAGGGCUACACACGUACUACAAUGGCCGAUGCAAAGGGCAGCGACACUGCGAGGUGAAGCCAAUCCCGUAAAAUCGGUCUCAGUCCGGAUUGGAGUCUGCAACUCGACUCCAUGAAGUUGGAAUCGCUAGUAAUCGUGGAUCAGCAUGCCACGGUGAAUACGUUCCCGGGCCUU